UAGGGAAUCUUCCACAAUGGACGCAAGUCUGAUGGAGCAACGCCGCGUGAGUGAAGAAGGCUUUCGGAUCGUAAAGCUCUGUUGUUGGUGAAGAAGGAUAGAGGCAGUAACUGGUCUUUAUUUGACGGUAAUCAACCAGAAAGUCACGGCUAACUACGUGCCAGCAGCCGCGGUAAUACGUAGGUGGCAAGCGUUGUCCGGAUUUAUUGGGCGUAAAGCGAGCGCAGGCGGAAUGAUAAGUCUGAUGUGAAAGCCCACGGCUCAACCGUGGAACUGCAUCGGAAACUGUCAUUCUUGAGUGCAGAAGAGGAGAGGGGAAUUCCAUGUGUAGCGGUGGAAUGCGUAGAUAUAUGGAAGAACACCAGUGGCGAAGGCGGCGCUCUGGACUGCAACUGAAGCUGAGGCUCGAAAGCAUGGGUAGCGAACAGG
rnacentral:rRNA from 1 species